rnacentral:rRNA from 1 species
GACGAACGCUGGCGGCGUGCUUAACACAUGCAAGUCGAACGGAAAGGCCCCUUUGGGGGUACUCGAGUGGCGAACGGGGGAGUAACACGUGCGUAACCUGCCCUUGACUUCGGGAUAACUUCAGGAAACUGGGGCUAAUACCGGAGAGGAAUCCUUGCUGCAUGGGGGGGGUUGGAAAGCUUCGGCGGGUUUGGAUGGACUCGCGGCUUAUCAGCUUGUCGGUGGGGUAGUGGCUUACCAAGGCUUCGACGGGUAGCCGCCCUGAGAGGGCGACCGGCCACAUUGGGUCUGAGAGACGGCCCAGACUCCUACUGGAGGCAGCAGUGGGGAAUCUUGCACAAUGGGCGCCAGCCUGAUGCAGCAGCGCCGCGUGCGGGAUGACGGCCUUCGGGUUGUAAACCGCUUUCAGCAGGGGCGAAGCUUGUGGUGACGGUACCUGCAGAAAAAGCACCGGCUAACUACGUG